CUCAAUAAUAAAGGUAGUCUUCCGUUUCUCAAAGGUUUCACAUCCUCCCCUAAAUACUUUUAACACUCUUUUCACCUGCCAAAAUCUUCCUUCCAAUAUCUUGUAUUUUUAUUAUAAUUUUUUUAAAAUAUUCAGACGCAUUAAUAUUUUUAUUAUUGGAAAAAAAACACAAUAACCCAUUUAUAUGUAUAAACCCAUUACAUAAUUCCAACCCCUACCUUUAUAUUCAAUUGGGUCUCUUCAACCAUUAUACAACAGUCGUAGAUACCUUCCAUUGUUAAUACCAACUCAACUUGAAUCAAUGGAGACAAAAGUUAUCAUAAGUUUGACUUAAAUAUAGCUUCAUUCUAACUGUUAAAGAUGAAGUCUGUUCAUUCAGCAACAUUUCUACCUUGCGAUUUAAUUGGUCUUUUGUCAGAGAUUUUUUGCUAGAGUCAACGACCGUGAUUUCCUUGAUUAAAUGAGGCAUUCGAACAGAACCUGCAAACAAUGCUCAAGAAGUAAUGCAACUUUUGUUGGUUGGUGUGAAUUUUGACAUCAUAUUUAUUGAUUUUGAUUUGCCCAUAAUAACUAGACCUCAGUUUGUGAUGGAUAUGCUUGCAUUGGGGAUACACAGAAAAAUAGUGCGCAAGUUAUCAAACUUUGGUUAUUAUAAUUCAAAAAAGUUUGUUGAAGUAUGAUUUAAUGGCAACACUCAGAAACCUUUGACUCGAGGAAUUUUUGAACACCAUUGAAAUCCUUCGCUUCAAACGUUAGUAGCGGGCAUGCUAUAAUUCAUAGUGAUCAUAAUUUAGAAAUGAUUCUUGAAGCUUGAAGUAGGAGUUAAUGGAAACAGUCAAAAAUCAUUCACUCGAGGAAUUUUUGAACACAUCAUUGAAAUCCUUCACUUUAUAUGAAUCUAAUGUUCCUCAUUGUUAUGAUGUGAUAUGCUUAUAAUUUGUAGGAGAGACAUUGAUUCUUUGAGUUGAAAUAUUAAAUAAAUUAUGAAAUGUAUGGGAUAAAAAAUAAAAGUAAUUUAUCUACAA